rnacentral:tRNA from 1 species
GAGGGGAGAGAUCAGUGGUAGAGCGCGUGCUUAGCAUGCACGAGGUCCUGGGUUCAAUCCCCAGUGCCUCCA